CACCCUGUUUGGCCAGGAUGCCUUUGGGACGCUUGGCAGGGAGCGCCCGCUCCGAGGAGGGAAGCGAGGUCUUUCUGGAGGGAAUGGUGGAUUGGGAGCUGAGUAGGCUGCAGCGACAAUGCAAAGUGAUGGAAGGGGAGAGGCGGGCCUACAGCAAGGAAGUCCACCAGCGCAUCAACAAGCAACUUGAGGAGAUCCGGCGCUUGGAGGAGGUACGGGGCGAUCUCCAGGUGCAGAUCAGUGUAGCCCAGAACCAGGUCAAGCGGCUUCGGGACAGUGAGCGGCUGGAGAACAUGGACCGCCUGCUGAAAGGCCGGGCCCAGGUGCAGGCGGAGAUCGAGGAGCUGCAGGAGCAGACCAGGGCCCUGGACAAGCAGAUCCAGGAGUGGGAGACGCGGAUCUUUACCCACAGUAAGAAUGUCAGGUCCCCGGGAUUCAUCCUGGAUCGGAAGGUCAAGAUCGGGCGAAGGAUCAGGAUCCUAGAAAACCAGUUGGACAGGGUCACCUGUCACUUUGACAACCAGCUGGUGCGGAAUGCGGCCCUGCGGGAGGAGCUGGAUCUGCUGCGGAUCGACAGGAACCGCUAUCUGAACGUGGACCGCAAGCUGAAGAAGGAGAUCCACCACCUGCAGUACCUGGUCAGCACCCUUAUCCUCUCCUCCACCUCUGCCUACGCCGUCAGGGAGGAGGCGAAGGCCAAGAUGGGCUUGCUGCGGGAGCGCGCGGAGAAGGAGGAGGCCCAGAGCGAGAUGGAGGCGCAGGUCCUGCAGCGGCAGAUCUCGCACCUGGAGCAGCUGCACCGCUUCCUCAAGCUCAAGAACAACGACCGGCAGCCGGAUCCCAAUGUCCUGGAGAAGCGUGAAAAGCAGGCCCGGGAGGUGGCCAAGGGCGUCUGGAAGACCUCCCAGGAGAGGCUGGUGCUUCGCUACGAGGAUGCCCUGAAUAAACUGUCCCAGCUGAUGGGGGAGAGCGACCCUGACCUGUUGGUGCAGAAGUAUCUGGAGAUUGAGGAGCGCAACUUUGCUGAGUUCAACUUCAUCAAUGAGCAGAACUUGGAGCUGGAGCAUGUGCAGGAAGAGAUCAAGGAGAUGCAGGAGGCUUUGGUGAGCGCACGUGCCAGCAAGGAUGACCGGCAUUUGCUGCAGGAGCAGCAGCAGAAGGCGUUGCAGCAGCGCGUGGACAAGGUGCACUCGGAGGCUGAGCGCCUUGAGGCCCGCUUCCAGGAUGUGCGGGGACAGCUGGAGAAGCUCAAGGCUGAUAUCCAGCUCCUCUUCACCAAGGCCCAUUGCGACAGCAGCAUGAUCGAUGACCUCCUUGGGGUCAAGACUAGCAUGGGAGACCGGGACAUGGGCCUCUUCCUGAGCCUCAUUGAGAAGCGGCUGGUGGAGCUCCUGACAGUGCAGGCCUUCCUACAUGCCCAGGUGGGAGGCGGCAGGGAGCCGGGCGGGAGGCCAGUCUCGGGGGUGGCCCAGCUGACCGCAGGCUCCCACACUCUCCAGAGCUUCACCUCCCUGGCCGACGCUGCCCUCCUAGUGCUGGGCCAGAGCCUGGAGGACCUUCCGAAGAAGAUGGCCCCACUUCAGCCCCCUGACACUCUAGAAGACCCCCCGGGUUUUGAGGCCAGCGAUGACUACCCCAUGAGCAGGGAGGAGCUGCUGAGCCAAGUGGAGAAGCUGGUGAGAGUGGGGCCUGCGGGGGUGGGGCCAGGCCUCAGUGCGUGUCGGGGCCCAGCUCACCUUCCCUGCAGGUGGAGCUCCAGGAGCAGGCGGAGGCGCAGUGCCAGAAGGACCUGGCGGACGCCGCCGCGAAGCUGGACGGCACCCUGAGCGCGGACCUGGCCAGCACCCAAAGGGCCGGCUCCAGUACCGUCCUGGCGCCCACCAGGCACCCCCAUGCCAUCCCCGGGUCCAUCUUGAGCCACAAGACUAGCAGAGACCGUGGUUCUCUUGGCCGCGUCACUUUUGGCCUCCUCAGCUCCAGCACCGGGCAUUUGCCCAGCCACGUCACGCAGGGUGACCCCAACACUGGCCACGUGACCUUCGGCUCCACCAGUGCCUCGAGUGGGGGCCACGUGACCUUCAGACCUGUCAGCGCCAGCAGCUACCUGGGCUCCACUGGAUACGUGGGGUCCAGCAGCUACCUGGGCUCCACUGGAUACGUGGGGUCCAGCAGGGACGGAGAAAACACAGAGGGUGGUGUGGAGAGCGGAGGCACAGCGUCCGAUUCGAGCGGAGGCCUCGGGUCCAGCAGAGACCACGUCUCCAGCACCGGCCCUGCCUCCAGCACUGGCCCGGGCUCCUCCACCAGCAAAGACUCCCGGGGCUAACACGAGGGGCACGCAGCCCCCACCCUGCCCUGGCUCUCUGUGGGGUCUUUUUUUGUGUCUCCACUUCCCUGUUUGCCUUGUGGGUCUCUGUCUUUUUCUCCCAGUCGCAGGCCUCUGUCUUUUUGCCCCUUCAACUGUUUUCAUCUGCCCUUCAUCACCGCCUCACCUAUGUCUCCCGGUUCCUUUCUCUCUGCUCCUGACCCUGCUUUUCCCUCUGCCUCCUGAUCUCCUGUUCUUUGGGCUUCCUAGUCAGUGUCUGUCCGUCUUGUCUCCAUAUCUGCCCCUUGCCUGUCUGCUGAGCCCUGGCCCCCUGUGGAUCCCCCACCUCCUGUUUCUGGCUCACUCUCCUCGUCUCCCUCUCCCAGGCUUUCCAUGCAUCCUGUGUCCCUGUCUCUGUAGCUCCUCACUCCCCAAGAGCCCUCCAGUGCUGACAGGCGUGGGAAAAGUCAGGGCGAAGACGCCAGGUUCAGCAUGGGAAAAUGGGACUGUGGAAAUAAAGUGUAUGUGUGGAGA
rnacentral:sRNA from 1 species